rnacentral:lncRNA from 1 species
GGUCGAAAUUCACAACCAAACACAUCCACUCCACCGACUCCUCUCUCCCUCUCGAUUUUUUCUUUCUCCCUUUCUCUCAAUUCUCACAACUCAACCUCCCCCCCACAUACAAAACACUCAAGACACAACCAAACACUCCCCCAACUCCAACUCCUCUCUCUGUUCCCCUCUUUCUCUCCCUCUCAAUUUUAAAAACUCACACAAUACACCCACACACAAGAAUAAGCACAACUCCCUUCCCUUCCUCAGCUCUCACAUGUAUCAAUUCUUAAAGCAAAGAAAGGUGAUGAAAAGAAAAAAAAUGAAAGGUUGAGACUUGGAAAUUUCAUCAAAAAUAUUAACCAAGGAACUACCAUUCUCAUUGAGGUAUUUUUCAGCUUUAAUCAUAUUAAUCCUUGUUUUUGUUGUUCAAUUUUCUCUUGCUUUUGCUGGUUUUUUUGUUGUUGAGAUGUUGGGAUAAGACAUAAAUAAAAUUGAAGAAACAAAUAGCUUUUGGUGCAUGUCUAAAACAUGUUUGAAAAAAUGUCCAAAUGGAAAACCAAAUUAAAGUGGUAAAUUUCCUGUAUAUUCGGCUAAAAAUAGAUGGUAUUAACUAGUUCACGGCCUGAAAAUGUUUUGUUAUUCAAAUUUUUGAAACUUUUGAGCCUUAAAAGCAAUGAAAUAUUUUUUUAGGGCUGUUUUGCUUAAAUUUAUCAUAUUGUUGUUGUUUUUUGUUGAUUUAAGGCCAUAGUUGCAUUGUAGAAAUCACAAGAAAUAUUUCGGUAUAAGAUUUAUAAUUUUUGGUGAAGAUUUGAGUGAUUUUAAAAAAAUAAAUCUCGGCUGUAAAUUGCCCUUUUGAGCGCUUUUUGUGAAAAUUUAAGGUAAAAAAUGAAUUAUACAUGAAAGAUUGGGUAGGCAAAUGUAUUUUGAUGAAUUUUUGUAACUGCAAAAGUCACCAGCAAUCAGAAAUCAGUGGCUGGCAUCCAUGGCGGACGCCAGUGACCGGAGGUGGAGAAGAAGAAAGAAGGGAAGAAAAAGAAGAAAAGAAAGAAAAAGAAAAAAAAAGAAGUGGCUUGUUUUCUUAUUUUACUUGGGCUUGUGUUUUAUUUUUCUGUUUGGAUUUGUGACCGGAUUUUGAAGUUUAAAUCCUUUUUUUUUAUGUUUAGUUUGUUUAAUUAAUUGGGCUUUUCUUAUAAAACAAUUUGUUUAUUUUCUUUGGGCCAUAAUGUGGGGCCCAAAUGUUUAAAAGGGCCCAAAUUUGUUUUGUUUUCAUUUUUCUCAAAAACAAUUUUUGCAAUUUGCCCCCUAAUCUUUUGAGUAAUUUUACUAUGCCUUGAAAAUUUUGGAUUUAUUUCAUUUAGACCCUUAAUUUAGUUGCAUUUUGACCCUUAAACUUUAUCUUUAUUUAAUUUUGACCCAUAAUUUUGGCCCCAGAAACUUUCUAAUUUUUUUUACAAUUUAGUCCAAAAUAGUACUUGAUUCCUUAAUUAUAAUUGUUUUCUUCCUUUAGUUGUUAAUUAUGCUUCUCUUGCAUACAUUUAAAUUGUAAUUUUGAGUGUUUCGAGUUUAUUUACAUUUUUUUAACAUAAUAAUGUGAAUCUAGUACAUUUUUAUUUUUUCAAUUAAAUUGGUGUCGUAAUCCUUUUGUCAUUUUUGAGUAUACAUAGGGCAUUCUUAACUCAUUUAGUCACCAUUUCAAAAGGAAAGUACCCUUAUUAUCCUUUAAAUUUCGAUUAUAUAUUCUUAUGUACUCCUACGUGCUCGUGUAUAUUUAUAUAUUUUUACAUAUUUUUAUUAGUUAUUUAUUUUAAAUUUUUAUUUAAUUCUUUAAUAUUCGUUUAGUUAAUUUUAUAAUUAUU